AUUCAGCUGACGAGUCCCAAAGAGGACGAAACGCGCGUCCUGGAU
rnacentral:hammerhead_ribozyme from 1 species